rnacentral:rRNA from 1 species
AUUGAACGCUGGCGGCAGGCUUAACACAUGCAAGUCGAGCGGGGGGAGGUAGCUUGCUACUGGACCUAGCGGCGGACGGGUGAGUAAUGCUUAGGAAUCUGCCUAUUAGUGGGGGACAACAUCUCGAAAGGGAUGCUAAUACCGCAUACGUCCUACGGGAGAAAGCAGGGGAUCUUCGGACCUUGCGCUAAUAGAUGAGCCUAAGUCGGAUUAGCUAGUUGGUGGGGUAAAGGCCUACCAAGGCGACGAUCUGUAGCGGGUCUGAGAGGAUGAUCCGCCACACGGGGACUGAGGCACGGCCCAGACUCCUACGGGAGGCAGCAGUGGGGAAUAUUGGACAAUGGGGGGAACCCUGAUCCAGCCAUGCCGCGUGUGUGAAGAAGGCCUUAUGGUUGUAAAGCACUUUAAGCGAGGAGGAGGCUACUUUAGUUAAUACCUAGAGAUAGUGGACGUUACUCGCAGAAUAGGCACCGGCUAACUCUGUGCCAGCAGCCGCCGUAA